ensembl:snRNA U6 U6 spliceosomal RNA
AGAGUUUGUGCUUUCUUCUGCAUAAAAUUGGAACGAUGCAGAGAGAUUAGCAUGGUCCUGCAUAAGGAUGACAGGCAAGUUCAUGGAGAGAAGAAUUUAAUAUUG